rnacentral:rRNA from 1 species
AGUGAACGCUGGCGGCGUGCUUAACACAUGCAAGUCGAACGAGAACGGGUUAAAGCUUGCUUUAACUGUCAGCUAAGUGGCGCACGGGUGAGUAAUAUAUAGGUAAUGUGCCCUAGAGAGGGGGAUAACAGUUGGAAACGACUGCUAAGACCCCAUAUGCCUUUAAGUCAAAAGACUGCAAGGGAAAUAUUUAUAGCUCUAGGAUCGGCCUGUACGGUAUCAGCUAGUUGGUGAGGUAAUGGCUCACCAAGGCAAUGACGCCUAACUGGUUUGAGAGGAUGAUCAGUCACACUGGAACUGAGACACGGUCCAGACUCCUACGGGAGGCAGCAGUGGGGAAUAUUGCACAAUGGGGGAAACCCUGAUGCAGCAACGCCGCGUGGAGGAUGACACAUUUCGGUGCGUAAAACUCCUUUUAUAUAGGAAGAUAAUGACGGUACUAUAUGAAUAAGCACCGGCUAACUCCGU